AGUGAACGCUGGCGGUAGGCCUAACACAUGCAAGUCGAACGGCAGCACAGUAAGAGCUUGCUCUUACGGGUGGCGAGUGGCGGACGGGUGAGGAAUACAUCGGAAUCUACUUUUUCGUGGGGGAUAACGUAGGGAAACUUACGCUAAUACCGCAUACGACCUACGGGUGAAAGCAGGGGAUCUUCGGACCUUGCGCGAUUGAAUGAGCCGAUGUCGGAUUAGCUAGUUGGCGGGGUAAAGGCCCACCAAGGCGACGAUCCGUAGCUGGUCUGAGAGGAUGAUCAGCCGCACUGGAACUGAGACACGGUCCAGACUCCUACGGGAGGCAGCAGUGGGGAAUAUUGGACAAUGGGCGCAAGCCUGAUCCAGCCAUACCGCGUGUGUGAAGAGGGCCUUCGGGUUGUAAAGCCCUUUUGUUGGGAAAGAAAAGCAGCAGGUUAAUACCCCGCUGUUCUGACGGUACCCAAAGAAUAAGCACCGGCUAACUUCGUG
rnacentral:rRNA from 1 species